rnacentral:piRNA from 1 species
UCAACUGAUAGGGACGAGAGUUUGAGGGU